UACAGAGGUCUCAAGCGUUGUUCGGAUUCAUUGGGCGUAAAGGGUGCGUAGGCGGCGCGGUAAGUCGGAUGUGAAAUCUCGGGGCUUAACUCCGAAACUGCAUUCGAUACUGCCGUGCUUGAGGACUGGAGAGGAGACUGGAAUUUACGGUGUAGCGGUGAAAUGCGUAGAUAUCGUAAGGAAGACCAGUGGCGAAGGCGGGUCUCUGGGCCGUAACUGACGCUGAGGAGCGAAAGCAUGGGGAGCGAACAGG
rnacentral:rRNA from 1 species